rnacentral:rRNA from 1 species
ACUUUCGAGGAGGGUUGGCUCCUGGCUCUCCGGGUACAGGAACAGGUUCGAUUCUGGAGGGGAGACUGAGAACGGCUACUACAUCUACGGAAGGCAGCAGGCGCGUAAAUUACCCAUUCUUUGUCUCUAGGGAGGUGGUGACAAGAUAUAACGACGCGAUUAAUGUCGUGAUUGUAGUGAGGAUAUUCCAUAUAGAAUCGCGAGAACGAUUAGAGGGCAAGUCUGGUGCCAGCAGCCGCGGUAAUUCCAGCUCUAAUAGCGUAUAUUAAAGUUGCUGCAGUUAAAAAGCUCGUAGUUGGAUUUCAAGGAACACGUAUUCCCCCGGAAUAUGUGCCCUACUAGCCCUUUCGGCUGUUACUGUGAGAAAAUUAGAGUGUUUAAAGCAAGCUUUUGCAAGAAUACAUUAGCAUGGAAUAACGAAUGUAUCUAGAAUCUUGGUUAAUUCUAGGUUUCGAUUAUAGAGACAGCCGGGGGCACCACCCACAACGUCAGAGGGAAAUUCUUGGAUUUGUUAAGACUAACGUAUGCGAAGCAUUUUGCUAUGAUGUUUUCAUUAAUCAGAACGAAGAUAGGGGAUCAACGACCAUCCGAUACUGUCGUAGUCCUAUCUAUAACUAUGCCGACUAGGGAUUGGAGUGGAUAUUCACCAUUUCAGUACUUAUGAGAAUCAAAGUCUUUGGGUUCUGGGGGGAGUAUGUCCGCAGACUGAAACUUAAGAAUUGACGAGGCACCACUAGGAGGGAGCUGCGCUUAUUGACUCACACGGGUACCUACAGUCGACUUGUUAGAUUGACAGAUGUG